rnacentral:misc_RNA from 1 species
ACACCACUCAAGCUCAGCUUGGUAUUGGGUCGCGCCAGCAAUGGUGAACCUCAAACUCAGUGGCGGCACCGUUGGGUCCCGAGCGUAGUAAAAUAUCUCGCUGAGGGUUCCUGGGGAUGACGACCAACAACCCAACUUUCUAA